rnacentral:rRNA from 1 species
GACGUAGGGCGCGAGCGUUGUCCGGAUUUAUUGGGCGUAAAGAGCUCGUAGGCGGUGUGUCGCGUCGGCCGUGAAAACCUGCAGCUUAACUGUGGGCUUGCGGUCGAUACGGGCAUCACUGGAGUUCGGCAGGGGAGACUGGAAUUCCUGGUGUAGCGGUGAAAUGCGCAGAUAUCAGGAGGAACACCGGUGGCGAAGGCGGCUCUUUGGUCUGUAACUGACGCUGAGGCGCGAAAGCGUGGGGAGCGAACAGG